UUUUGUAAAUGAUACUGAAAUAUUUACGUGUGAUAAUUUCCGUUAAAAUACCGGCCAUGUCUACUGGCGCAGUGUCGAUCCGAGAUGGCAAAACCAAAACUCAUUUCCUCAACAAUCGCACCGACCCGCCAACUUUACUCACCCAGGUACCCCCGGACUACCUGGAUGGACACUCCAAAUUCUAAGUCUUAGGUGCAUACACCAGCAUCUCAAAGGGCUUAGUCCUAAACACUGAUGACAAUUAUUUUACAGCAAGCGAUGAGGAGAACAGAGGAAGGACGAUGAACGAUGACAGGGAUGGGGAAAGGGGAGGAGGAGGAAGACUCCACCACUCCAUCAGCACGUUCGCCACGAUUGAGCUACCAAUGGAUCUAUGCCGAGCAGAAUUCGUCUUCAGAUUGAGGGACAGAAUCAUCGUGUUCUGCCAUAAUAGGAAAUGAACGUGACGUCAGCAAUGCGGGCUGAUUAUUGGAAACUCCCAAGUUACCGAAGAAAUAAGAAGAGGUCGGUCGUGUUCGCUGAUAUCUCUUCAUUUCUUGGUCGGUUGUGUAGCAGAAGCUCUCUGUUAAGUAUAUACUGUCAUACUCCAACCGCCAGUGCUGCAAAAAUCAACAACCACAUUGACAAAAAUCCUUGAAAAUGUAUUUUAAUAACAACAAGCAUCAACAUCUCUUAAGCAGUUCCUUUAUAGUUUAUUUGGAGCUGAUCUAAAACACUUUAAGCUAGGAAAUGAAAAAUUAACGAAAAAAUAAGUCUUUAUAUUGUCCUGCAUAAACUGAUUUAAUUAUCGUGUGAAAUAAUUUUGAAGUAGAUAUGUGUUAAACACUAAAGAUAAUCGGAAAUUAUAUUGCUUUUAAAUAAUAUAUUUUAAUAAUUUUGACUUUUUCAAUAACGACUGAAAACGUGUAAAUAGAAUCUUCCUGAAAAUGAAAUCAGUUUUUCAAUACUUGCUAAAGACAGCUUUUAUGAGAGAUGCAUUCGAGAAUGGUGAAACAUUUUUAUAAAGUGUUCAUUUUUUUAUAUUUUGUACAGUGUAGCGUUCUUAAUGAGGUAAAACCACGUAAAUGGAAGUUAUUAAUUUGACGUUAUUAUACUUGCAAGAAAAUUUGCAAGUAGAAAACUCGACUAAGACUUAAAAAGGAUGUGCGAUAAUAUAACAUACAAUGAGUAUGUAAAUUUUUAGUGCUGUUUUCCUGAAUCCCUGAGGAAAUGGACUUUUAAAUGUUCGUAGAUAAUAUGAAAAAAACACUUCGGAAUUUGUAAAUAAAUGCCGAGAUGAAACAGUUGUCGGAGCGCGUGCUGAUUGUUCAAGAGUCGGCGUUGCAGUAAACUCUGGUCCGAUGAUGUCCGCGACGCAUCGGAAGGCGCUCUUGGCAUUCCUCCUCCUGCAGCAGUGCGUCUUCUGGCGCCUGACGGUCCUCGCUUGUCCGUCCUCGUGCCGGUGCAAGUGGAAGGGAGGCAAGCAGACGGUGGAGUGCAUCGACGAGGGUCUGACCACCAUCCCGGAGGGCAUGGACCACGGCACCCAGGUCCUCGACUUCUCGGGGAACAACCUCCAGAUGCUGCCGCGGGAGCGCUUCCAGAGGAUGUCCCUGCUGAACCUUCAGAAGAUCUACCUGACGCGCUGCCGGCUCAGCCACAUCGACCCGCACGCCUUCCGCGGGCUCACCAACCUGGUGGAGCUGGACCUGUCGGAGAACCUUCUGGUCGGCGUCCCCAGCGACACCUUCGCCGAGUACCCGUCCCUCAUGAGGCUCGCCGUCAGCGGCAACCCCAUCCGGGCCAUCAGGUCCGGGUCUUUCGGGCACCUGUCGUCGCUCACCACCCUCGAGCUGAGCGACUGCGAGGUGGAGACCAUCGAGGAGGACGCGUUCGCCGGGUUGGACAGCCUGGAGUGGCUCAAGCUGGACGGGAACCGCCUGACCGGGGUCCGGGGAGCGCGCGUGCUUCCCGAGUCCCUGCACGGGAUCCACCUGCACAACAACCCCUGGCAGUGCGACUGCCGGCUGCUGGACCUCAGGUCGUGGCUGCUCAGCUACCACGUGCCGCAGGCUGUCGAGCCCAAGUGCGUGGCCCCGGCGAGGCUGGCGGGAGUCGCCAUAAAGACCCUGCAGGAGAACGACCUGGCCUGCCUUCCGGACGUCACUCCGACGACCCUCUACCUGGAGAUCAGCGAGGGGAAGAACGUCUCCCUGCUGUGCCGUGUUUCGGCCAUACCGGAGGCAACCGUAUCGUGGUGGUUCCAAGGGCGCGUUCUUCAGAACGACUCCAUCGUGGCCCCAGGUCUCCACCUCUACUACUUUGUCGAAGAAGGCGUCGAGGAGAAGAAGAGCGAAUUGUUCAUUUUCAACACGAACACCGAGGAUAACGGAACUUUCGUCUGCGUCGCUGAAAACCCUGCAGGAAAGUCGCACUCGAACUACACCAUUCGGAUAGUGGUGAAAGAGGAGCCUGUCAUCGGUCCCGUGGUUUUUCCUUUCGAGUACAUGAUAACGAUCAUUGCAGCGACGACUGUUCUGGGCGCGUUUGUCCUCAUCACAAUCGCAAUAUGCAUAUUCAAAUGCCACAGGCAAAGACGACAGAGGAGGAAGAAAGAGCACAGCAAAGUUAUCGCUCUGCAGCAUCAGCAGCAACAGCAUGGCAAGUCCAUCGGUGUGGAUGUAAGUGGCAACCCGAUAACGAUGGUGGGAGGUGAGAUGUCUAGUCCGCCAAAAGUAAACGGGAUUGUCGUUAUGGGGGAAAGAUACCAAAGCCAGAUAAUCAUGGUAUCGGAUGGUAGUGGAUGUGGGGGAAUACCAGUAAUAAGAGCAAGUGAAGUACCGUACGGUAGCCCACAGUCUUUGAGGAAUUACCAUUUGGAGCAGAAUCCCGAUCUGAUCAAUGACGCCGAAAGUGGAGGGAAGGAUCGCAGGAAAACAAACUCAGCUAGCGACGAUGCCGAAGACGGCGAGCGAGAAAACAGCAACCCCAACAGCUACCAAGAAGCCAUGGAGAACAUCAUAGACGACUACGAGACCAAGAACGUCGGGAGAGAGAGCCCCCAGCAGUAUCCGAUGCACAUGUCCACGUUGCCGAGGGGUUCGUCCGCUCGCCGGGACCCGUCCUACCAGCGCCACCACACCGCGGACGUCCAUCUUUCCCCGGGGAGGUUCCUGGACGGCGACGGCUACCCCGUAGACUACGGCCUCCCGAAGGUCCCGUCUCUGGUGCCUCUGCCCGCGCCGGCACCUGCCGCUUUCUACCGGACUCUUCCCCACCACCGCCCGUCGAGGCUCGAGAGCGCUGCCACCCCCUGCAGCCGGUACAUGAGGGAGACGGAGUUCCUCUCCAGGACGAACCAGUUGCAACCCGAUCCCUACCAGCACUACACCCCUCCGGACGUAAGGUACACGGUCGAGGGAUACCCUUGCUCCCUUCCUCCGCAGCAGCAGCCACCGGCGUCCGGAGUCUACUCCCUCGAGCCGCACGGGUCUUUCCCCGACGCCUCGUGUCUGCCGUCCCCUCCCGCCGCGUACAAGAGCGAGGGUGCGGUCCCGUCUUCGGCCAGCGUGUCGACCUGCACCAGUCCCCCGAGGGACCAGGCCAACCCUUCUUGGCCGAAGAACUUGAGCGCGCCCGCCCGAAAUUGUUCGGGGUCGGGCAGGAGGACCUCCUCAUCGCAGGAGACCCUGUCGACGGCGGGCUUCAGCAGCAGCACCAGCGGGGUCAGCCUGCCGUCGACGGCGAGGGUCGGCGAAGCGGAGACCCCCUUGUCCCCGGAGGCCCCCGGGUCCCUGAGGACUGCCGCCGGCGCGGGGAAGAUGUCCGGGUCGGCCAGCCAGAGCUCCCUCCAGGCGGCGCUGACCGAGUCCCCCGACGAAGGCUACGAGGGCGAGGCCCUGGAGAUUUGACGUCACGUCAGGGAAGGCUACAGGCACGUGGCGGAGGAACUGCGCUGGAAGUUCUCCGACGACGCCAGGGACCCGGACGGGUCCACUCUGGGCACGUCCACUUGAAGAGGACCUGGAACAGUGUCCAGCCGAUGGAAAAUUGGAGGAUACAAUGUUUUUUGUUGGAAUAAACAACUACCACCAAAUACUGAAAUAGAACAAAGGGGACAAACCUGCUACCUUGGAGGAGACUAGUCAUUUCGAUGGAGUUGAAAAGAGACCUAUACUGUGGGAUAUGGAAUGCUCGGAGCACAUUUGAAGAAGUCAUGUUGGGUGUAGAGGUGGUUGAGAUAUUUGGAAGUGCAGACUCUAAAGAAAAAAAAAAAUGAUGCCGUGGCUGGUACUUAAGACUAAAAGUUGCUCCUAGAAAACCACCUUUCAGUCAGGUCACCUGGAACAACAGUUAUGGCUGAAACGAUUAAGUUCUGAACAGCGAAGACUUUCCCGUGGGAUACAAUGAUGAAGACGUCUCUGUCCACCUGAAGACGCGCUGAAGGAAGGAGGAAGGCGGUCGAAUGGGCCACCGACUACAACUGUCACGUGUGCCACUUCGUGUGUCUGCGGUCGAGUGGGGCAAAGCCAGCCCUACCGCGAUCUCUGGAUCCAGCCUGGAAAUAGGAUUCCCUGCAAGAUUACCGCCAAAACUCCAGAUGGGGGUUUUUGAAAAACUGCACUCACUGCAAGCUGAAGACCAGGUUCACGCCGGACAGUCCGACCAUGGGCAGCAGGCAGUAUCCCAGCACGGACACCACGGCGCCCAAGGUCACGCCCGACACGGCCAUCAAGCUCAGGAGGGCGUACACCGCCAGGCAGCCCAGCACCCCGAUGCCGUAGAUGUACCCGAAGUGCACCUUGCCCGACUACAACAAAACAAAAAAUUAAUAUCUCGAAUUUUUUUCUCAUUUUGUUUUUAGCAGGUUACAAUAUUGUAAUUAAAUGAAUUUUUUUUUUGCAUUUCCAUUGUUUCGAACAAAUUUUUUUUUUUUUAAGUUUAGAAAAAGACCAUUUCACUAUAAUUUUGUUAUUAGCUUAUUGUAUUUUCAUUUGUUUAUCAGAGAGAUUCGAUGUAAAUGUUUUAUCAUGUUGUACUUAACAAGAUCCUUUAAAUACACAAUACAAUAAAAAAAUUAAAUGAAAUGUACCUUAAGGUUAUGUAAUGAAUGAAUGAAUGAAUGAAUGAAUGAAAUGAUGUGAAAUGUCAGUGAACAGAAUAAAAAACGAAUUGUAAUGUAAUAAAGUUUGAAUUGUAACCAAAUAAA